rnacentral:rRNA from 1 species
UACGUAGGGCGCAAGCGUUAUCCGGAAUUAUUGGGCGUAAAGAGCUCGUAGGCGGUUUGUCGCGUCUGCUGUGAAAGACCGGGGCUCAACUCCGGUUCUGCAGUGGGUACGGGCAGACUAGAGUGCAGUAGGGGAGACUGGAAUUCCUGGUGUAGCGGUGAAAUUCGUAGAUAUCGAGAGGAACACCGGUGGCGAAGGCGGCCUCUGGACAGUUACUGACGUGAGGAGCGAAAGCGUGGGGAGCGAACAGG